GGUGAACCGCUUCGUGGUGUGUGCGCACCCUGUCCCUGCACGCCGCGUGCACGUCGCGCCAUUUGCGGGAGAUCGUGCGAGAGCCACACCCAUUGGUCACCGCCCCGCACAAACCCUACCCUUUCCAGCGCUCCCAGAUCGAUGGAGCCGCCUCCCUUCUCCCUCUCUUCCUCCCCCAACGCGCCGGCCGCCGCCACCUGCCAUACCGCGUCCCCGCUGCGGCCAUGGCCUCUUCAAGAGGCACGCCCCUCCAUGGUCAGAAGCAGCAGACCAGGAUCCGGAUGAGGAAGAGGAGAUCCGGGCGCCCCAACGGUGGAUCGAUCGAUACCCGGAUGAGGAAGAGGAGAUCCAGGCGCCCCAAUGGUGGAUCGAUCGAUGCGAGGUGACGACGAGCUCCUCCGGACGUGGGGGAGCAGUGAGGCUGGAGAUCCAGUCGGCACAUGCCCCACGGGGUUGGGGAGACGCCGACAAUAGGGGCAAGGUGCAUCAGGGUCGAAGCUGCAGCGCUCCGGUCCCCAAGCCGCCUCCAGGCUCGCUUCCUCCUCCAUCCUCCCGCAUCUCACCCAUCUCGACGGAUACGAGGCGUGCGGGCACGGAGGCGAGGUUCUCCGGCGGCGGCAGGAACCUCCAGGCAGAGAGCGACCCCAUGGACCCGUCCCUGCAGGAGAGAAGGAAGGAGAGGAGACAGGCCAUGGAGAUGGGAUGAGAACGUCCAUGGCCAGCCAAUCGAGCCCCACCUCCGGUGCGCGACCCCAGGAAGGAUUUUGCGCUGCCGUCUUCUUUCGCCGGUCCGUGCCCUGGAAGAGCGACACCAGCCAGGCAUUGUAUGGGAAUGAAGCAAAAAGUCUGCCUUCCAUUGGCGUGUGAGUACUUGCACUUGGACCUUUUUGUGACCAGUACUAACUAAUCUAAUGAUCUGAUCCUUGCAAUCUAAGGAAAAAAUAAAUUACUGCACCUGGUUAUCUACAGAGGAAGGCAAGGAUAACUAGAUUAAACAUUUCACAAGACCCUCCCAAUUACAGGCACAAACUCCUUUCAAGAUAUUACAAGUGUGGUUGAUUACGGGAGAUUGUCAGAUGAAAAGAAGGUAUAUCCUUUAUAUUUAUCUAGAUGUUUAAUUAGCUGCACAGCCAUACGUGAUUCUAUAAGGAAACUAUUUAUCCUGGUGAUCUUGAUAUCCAGUCAUGUAUUACAGUAUUAGUAUAGGCUGUAAUUUUUGGCUAGGAAUCUAUAUAUAUAGAACCUAAACUGAAGACUCAAUAUAGCACAUAUACUAGGCCAGUUAUCCUAAGAAUAUUAAUCCACCUGGACUUUUAACUUGACUUCCAAAGAAGUUCUUAACGAUCAAGCAUUUUUGAGUUUUUAGUAAAUUGAAAUAAUGUUGCACUUUGACAAUACUAUUCUGAUUUUGCAAGUUAAUAGAAAUCCUUCAGUUUCAUACCACUUUUUUAAUCGCACAUUUGGAUGAGUAUUAGUAUAGGCUGUAAUUUUUGGCUAGGAAUCUAUAUAUACAGAACCUAAACUGAAGACUCAAUAUAGCACAUAUACUUGGCCAGUUAUCCUAAGAAUAUUAAUCCACCUGGACUUUUAACUUGACUUCCAAAGAAGUUCUUAACGAUCAAGCAUUUUUGAGUUUUUAGUAAAUUGAAAUAAUGUUGCACUUUGACAAUACUAUUCUGAUUUUGCAAGUUAAUAGAAAUCCUUCAAUUUCAUACCACUUUUUUAAUCGCACAUUUGGAUGAUUGCGACAUUAUCUCUUCUCGGAAUUCCGCUUGCAUGUUUCCAGUUGAGACAAUAACUGAGUUUGAUAAGUAACCACUAUAUUAUUUUCUAUGUGUACAUUACGAGCCCGAGACUUCCAUCACAACAAACUAUAUGUAUCCAGGUAGUGUCCAAUAUGUACACACAGGCUCCUCUCACAGGCCGACUAAGCUGAUUGUAACUGAAUGUGUGUGUGUGGCCGUGAAGUAGACUUUAUCUUGGUCUGAGUAUCAGUUCCCUUCAAUGGUACAAUUUUGGAUACUAUUUUCUUCUAGAUGUAUAGGUUUCUGCUGGUCCCAUUGGCUGCUACAUUUUAGUGAUACGAUAGCUCAAUGUCAUGCUCACCUAUUGUUCUGUAAAAAUGAAAAAUCGACUUGACUGUAUUUUGUACCUGUUUUAGUAAUUACAUGAUGUGAUUAUUUUCAUUCUAGAUAUGGAAAUAUUCUAAGGAUUAAGCUUUUUGAGAUGUUAAGGUGUCUGAUGAUUAAUUAGCCUUUGUAAGAUUUAUGCACUCAUGUCAUACAACCUAGAUAAUUCUCCUUGGAUCUCCAUAAUUUCUAACUGAAUAUAGAUGUAUACUGACAGUAAAUCCUGUUUUAGUAAUUAGUUGGACAUAAUUGAUAAUUCUUUGACAUGUUUUUAUGAAAUGUCUGCUUAAAUCAGCGUUAGAUGCUCCCAUAAUCGAUUACUUUUUGGAUAUGAAUUAUUACUAUAAGAAGUAUAUUGGUUCUCCGGUGUUUUCAGUUCUUACAAUAAACAAAUUAUAUUGUUUUGCACUAAUCAUUUCUCAUGUAGUUUUACUCUGCAGUAUGUAUCUUUUGCUUCAUAACUCAUCUGUUCACAAGAUUGAUGCCUAGAAAUUUCAGCCUUCCGUGCUAAAUGUCGUCUGCUCAUUUGUAACGGCAUAGAGAUAGGAACGAGCAAUUCAUCUUAAGUUUGAGAAAGUGGCGGACAAAAGAGAACUGGACUAUUGUUGCUGAGCGCUCGCUCUGGCCGCAUGAUCAUCUAUAUAUAUAGUUUUCAACAGUAAAUGUAUCCUGAUUGGUAUAGCACAAAUGGAAAUCUUACUUUCUUCUAAACUCUUAAUUUCAAGAUGAACUGGAGAGGGGAAUUUGUACUAAGUUUGGAAUCUAUCACAGUAAGUGUGUAUUUGCGGUAUUGAUGUACAGUUAUUAAGAAAGUUACAUUUUUUCAGCUAUUGUGGUACUGAGAAGGAAGCAUGGCUGAGAAUUGCUCUGGCUGGAGUUGAAUGUCUGUGACUGAAUACUAGAGACGCUGACUUGCAGCCACUCUUUACAGUCCUACCACCUAGCUUUUAUCUCUCACCUUCCGUUAUUUUCAUGUUAACACUGCCAUUGGGGCAAAUCUAUAUUGCUUAUUGAUGGGUCUAGCUAUAGGUAGAAUUCCAUGUUUCCUACACUGUAUUAUACCCAUUACUAUUUGAAUGUUGAUUCUGACAAUCUUAAGACAUCCACCAUAGUCGUGGCAACUCGAAAAACGUAAGCUGGAGAAAUAUCAAAAUCACACGAAACCUCCCCUUAGCUAAUACAAUAAGGGAUCGAUUGAGGCUCUCUGUUAACAGCGCUUUGGUAAAAUUAAGCGUGUGGAUGAUGUUAUAGUGAGCUACCAUCACUUCUCAUUACUGACUGUAAUCAAUAUAUAUGUGUUUAUGCCAUAAAAGAUGGAUAUUUGUCGAAGCCAUUGUCGUGACAUGUAAUUACUUGCAGAUCAACUAUAUAGUUUUGUUCGGAUUGUAAAGUGGAAACGAUAAAACCCUACAACUCAUGUGUGAUUGUCAUUUGAUUAUUUACUUCCUCAAGUAGUAUGGAUAUGGUGCUGCCAGGAUAUUAAGUAUAUUCAUGAAGUUGUAUAAACCACGUUCUACGAUUCACUUCUGUUAUGCAUAUUUACUUUCCAGUUUUAGGACUGAAAUCCAUCCAUUGUAAUGAAUUUGGUUGUAUGGGCAUUACCUAUUUGACUUAGGCUUGCUUCAUCACAUAUAGACUGCUUUUCUUUUCCCCACUGCUUGUAUGGCCUAAAACUAUCAUGUAUAUGAGG
rnacentral:rRNA from 1 species